rnacentral:tRNA from 1 species
GGUUCCAUAGUGUAGCAUUAGUACGUCUGCUUUACACGCAGAAGGGCCUGGGUUCACACCCUAGUGGAGCCA